rnacentral:rRNA from 1 species
GAUGAACGCUGGCGGCGUGCCUAAUACAUGCAAGUCGAGCGAACAGACGAGGAGCUUGCUCCUCUGACGUUAGCGGCGGACGGGUGAGUAACACGUGGAUAACCUACCUAUAAGACUGGGAUAACUUCGGGAAACCGGAGCUAAUACCGGAUAAUAUAUUGAACCGCAUGGUUCAAUAGUGAAAGACGGUUUUGCUGUCACUUAUAGAUGGAUCCGCGCCGCAUUAGCUAGUUGGUAAGGUAACGGCUUACCAAGGCAACGAUGCGUAGCCGACCUGAGAGGGUGAUCGGCCACACUGGAACUGAGACACGGUCCAGACGCCUACGGCAGGCCGCAGUAGGGAAUCUUCCGCAAUGGGCGAAAGCCUGACGGAGCAACGCCGCGUGAGUGAUGAAGGUCUUCGGAUCGUAAAACUCUGUUAUCAGGGAAGAACAAAUGUGUAAGUAACUAUGCACGUCUUGACGGUACCUAAUCAGAAAGCCACGGCUAACUACGUG